UUGCUCUUCAACGAGGAAUGCCUAGUAAGCGCAUGUCAUCAGCAUGCGUUGAUUACGUCCCUGCCCUUUGUACACACCGCCCGUCGCUACUACCGAUUGAAUGGCUCAGUGAGGCCUCCGGACUGGCUCGAAGAGGUUGGCAACGACCACUUCGAGCCGGAAAGCUGGUCAAACUCGGUCAUUUAGAGGAAGUAAAAGUCGUAACAAGGUUUCCGUAGGUGAACCUGCGGAAGGAUCAUUACCUAGAGUUUGUAGACUUCGGUCUGCUACCUCUUACCCAUGUCUUUUGAGUACUUACGUUUCCUCGGCGGGUCCGCCCGCCGAUUGGACAAUUUAAACCAUUUGCAGUUGCAAUCAGCGUCUGAAAAACUUUAAUAGUUACAACUUUCAACAACGGAUCUCUUGGUUCUGGCAUCGAUGAAGAACGCAGCGAAAUGCGAUAAGUAGUGUGAAUUGCAGAAUUCAGUGAAUCAUCGAAUCUUUAAACGCACAUUGCGCCCCUUGGUAUUCCAUGGGGCAUGCCUGUUCGAGCGUCAUUUGUACCUUCAAGCUUUGCUUGGUGUUGGGUGUUUGUCUCGCCUCUGCGUGUAGACUCGCCUUAAAACAAUUGGCAGCCGGCGUAUUGAUUUCGGAGCGCAGUACAUCUCGCGCUUUGCACUCAUAACGACGACGUCCAAAAGUACAUUUUUACACUCUUGACCUCGGAUCAGGUAGGGAUACCCGCUGAACUUAAGCAUAUCAAUAAGCGGAGGA
rnacentral:rRNA from 1 species